GCUGCGUCCCCCUUCCUUGAACAUUAAAUUCCGUCUCAACACAAACAUGUUUGAGUUUUUUAUAUAGGAAAGCAACUCCUGUAAUUUAAAAAAAUGGCAUUUCGUCUCAAGUGCUCAGGAAAUACAAAAAUGUUCGUGUGUGGUAUUCCUACUUGGAACUAGCGCAAGGCUGAUACAGACACAAUUUUUCCGUUGGAGUACUUCUCUUCGUGAGAGAGCGAAGUGAGACCCAGAGCUGAAGUGAUGGCAGCUAAUCACAAGGUAAAAACUUUAAGAACUCUCUAAAUCCAUGUCAUCACAAGCAAGAUCAAGG